UCCCAUGCCGCAGGCGGCCUGCCCUGAGUCAUCAAGAGCGCCUUCGGGCGAGCGCCAUUCUCGGCCGGAGGCCACGCGAGCCACGCUGAUGUUCGAGCGCUGGCGCCCCAAAACCACCCCACUGCAAGGAGCUUUCAGGGCUCUAGAGUAAGAGCUGGGAGCUGUUUAUUUAUGGCUGCAAAUGUGUGCGUGCGAGAGAGAGGGAGAAUUGAUCUUUGCCUGGACUUAAAGAUGGAGCCGAAGGCGCUGGAGGGAAUUUGGGUUUGUGCGCCUAGCUCAGACCGGGGCGCCGAAGGGGGCCGUUUGGCACGAAGCCCGAGGUCGCUCUUUUCCGCACCCCUCACCUCGCGACCUUUCAGGAAUCUGAGGGGUCCUGAAGCGGCCUGGCUGACCCACCUCCCCGGGGCCGAGCUACCGAGAAAGGCUUCAUGGAGGGAGCCAUCCCGUCCCCGUCUUUAAAAUGAGCGCAAUAAAAGGGGGCAAAUCCUCAAACGCGAACCUGAUCACUUGUCACAGAAGCAACUUGCCAUGAAAUCCGCUAAUGCGCCGCGACUCGCCCACCCGGAUAGAUAACCCCGGCAGUGGUGUAACCAGCGCGCGCGCCCAAAGCCGUCUUGUCCCUCGAAUGCGCUCACCGCCGGCAACACUUGGAGAAUCCAGCCCACAGUGGUUUCGAAAACCCCAUUUUCCUGAUUGCAGCUCAGACUCUGGAACCCCGAGAGCCGCCCCAGAGAGGGAGCCUGAAUCGGGCCAAGUAGUGGGUCGGGGGCACACAAACACGCACGCACGCACGCACAUGCACACACAGGCAGAGAGCAGUGCUUCAUAGGAUCUAAGAUCCAGAGUGGCUGGAAGCGGGUCUGGGAGGCCACGGCUGAGGGAGCCAGCAAGGCCCUGGUGCUGCCCCUGCCAGAGUCGUGCAGCCACUGAAGCAGCCUGAUCCUGAUAGUUAUUUUGGGGUUGGGGGGGGGGGCGGACCUGGAACCCAGGUUUGAGCUAAAGAAAGUAAGGGCAAGUGACAGAUGACCAAGCAUUUCUUUGAAAUGAGGAAGAACUGAGACCUACCCAGCUGGCCUGGCAUUAGGGCAAUCUGGACAUUAGGAAACUACUCUCCUCGCGCACACAGCAGCACACAUCCUCCGAUGGCAAGCUCACCCAUGCCCAGCAAGGGCCACUGCACCUCCUAACUGCUUUGUCGGCCUCCUCCAGGUUUUGCCAGGCAAAUGAAACAAGAACUCAAUAGUAAAUUAUUUUGUUCAGACUUCUGUCUUUUUAUGAAAAUAAAAGGCAACACUUUGUCAUUUUUAAUCAUAUAAGCAGACAAUAAACCUAAUCUUG